rnacentral:pre_miRNA from 1 species
CUACUACUCCCCCAUCCGAAAAUACUUGUCAUUGAAAUGGAUGUAUCUAGAUGUAUUUUAGUUCUAGACACAUCCAUUUUGAUGACAAGUAAUUCCGGACGGAGGGAGUAUUUU